UACGUAGGGGGCGAGCGUUGUCCGGAAUUAUUGGGCGUAAAGAGCGUGUAGGCGGUUCGGUAAGUCUGUCGUGAAAUCCUGGGGCUCAACCUCGGGCGUGCGGUCGAUACGGGCAUCACUGGAGUUCGGCAGGGGAGACUGGAAUUCCUGGUGUAGCGGUGAAAUGCGCAGAUAUCAGGAGGAACACCGGUGGCGAAGGCGGUUCUCUGGGCAUUACCUGACGCUGAGGAGCGAAAGUGUGGGGAGCGAACAGG
rnacentral:rRNA from 1 species